ensembl:snRNA LOC120103229 U6 spliceosomal RNA
GGGCUUGCCUCUUAGCACACAUGUUAAAAUUAGGACAGUACAGGGAAGAUCAGUGUGGUCCCUGCUCAAGGGCAGCAUGCAAAUCCAAGGGAUGCUGCAUAUUUUA